AAGGAGGUGGGUGUGACUGCAACGGAACAGAUGAGGGGAGUAGUGUUGGUGCUCCGGACGGAUGAGAAAACGUACGGACGCAUCAAAGUGUAUGAGUCAUUUGGGAUGGGGGCGCUCGGUGUCACUUCUUUUUAUUGUAUGCCCAAGCAACUGAUGAAAACCCACCUCUCUCUCUCUCUCUCUCUCUCUCUCUCUCUCUCUCUCUCUCUCUCUCUCUCUCUCUCUAACUUCGUCCUCCUUUCCUCCUAUUCGUUCCGCAGUUAGCUUCUCAUUGACGGGUGAAUCUGGAUCGUUUAUCGGGCGGGCAACUUUGUUCACGCUACAUCUCAGUUAUUAGUAUCUGAGCCGU